AACGAACGCUGGCGGCAUGCCUAACACAUGCAAGUCGAACGAAGGCUUCGGCCUUAGUGGCGCACGGGUGCGUAACGCGUGGGAAUCUGCCCUUGGGUUCGGAAUAACUCAGAGAAAUUUGAGCUAAUACCGGAUGAUGUCGCAAGACCAAAGAUUUAUCGCCCAAGGAUGAGCCCGCGUAGGAUUAGCUUGUUGGUGAGGUAAAAGCUCACCAAGGCGACGAUCCUUAGCUGGUCUGAGAGGAUGAUCAGCCACACUGGGACUGAGACACGGCCCAGACUCCUACGGGAGGCAGCAGUGGGGAAUAUUGGACAAUGGGCGAAAGCCUGAUCCAGCAAUGCCGCGUGAGUGAUGGAGGCCUUAGGGUUGUAAAGCUCUUUUACCCGGGAUGAUAAUGACAGUACCGGGAGAAUAAGCUCCGGCUAACUCCGUGCCAGCCGCCGCAGUAACAC
rnacentral:rRNA from 1 species